rnacentral:rRNA from 1 species
CUUGCUUCUUGGGUGACGAGUGGCGGACGGGUGAGUAAUGUCUGGGAAACUGCCCGAUGGAGGGGGAUAACUACUGGAAACGGUAGCUAAUACCGCAUAACGUCUUCGGACCAAAGUGGGGGACCUUCGGGCCUCACGCCAUCGGAUGUGCCCAGAUGGGAUUAGCUAGUAGGUGGGGUAACGGCUCACCUAGGCGACGAUCCCUAGCUGGUCUGAGAGGAUGACCAGCCACACUGGAACUGAGACACGGUCCAGACUCCUACGGGAGGCAGCAGUGGGGAAUAUUGCACAAUGGGCGCAAGCCUGAUGCAGCCAUGCCGCGUGUAUGAAGAAGGCCUUCGGGUUGUAAAGUACUUUCAGCGGGGAGGAAGGCGAUGCGGUUAAUAACCGCGUCGAUUGACGUUACCCGCAGAAGAAGCACCGGCUAACUCCGUGCCAGCAGCCGCGGUAAUACGGAGGGUGCAAGCGUUAAUCGGAAUUACUGGGCGUAAAGCGCACGCAGGCGGUCUGUCAAGUCAGAUGUGAAAU